UUCCUACGGGACGCAGCAGUGAGGAAUAUUGGUCAAUGGGCGCGAGCCUGAACCAGCCAAGUCGCGUGAGGGAAGACGGUCCUAUGGAUUGUAAACCUCUUUUGUCGGGGAGCAAAAGACGCCACGUGUGGCGUUCCGAGAGUACCCGAAGAAAAAGCAUCGGCUAACUCCGUGCCAGCAGCCGCGGUAAUACGGAGGAUGCGAGCGUUAUCCGGAUUUAUUGGGUUUAAUGGGUGCGCAGGCGGAAGCUCAAGUCAGCGGUAAAAUUGAGAGGUGCAACCUCUUCGAGCCGUU
rnacentral:rRNA from 1 species